rnacentral:piRNA from 1 species
UGGGUGAUAAGGAUACAGCUUAUUAAAU